ACUCAUGAUCACUCUUUAUGACUGUGGUGAGAAGAAAAUCAUCUUAGCACGUAUAAGACAUUGAACCUUAAAGUGGAUGGGCUCUAACAGCAGCCAUGAAUAAGAAUCUGCAGAUUUCAUGGGCACACUCACUGGACAAUUGAAGACUGAAAAAGGUGAUUUUUUUUUUGUUCAACUGUACAGUUUCUGUGCCUCAGAUUAGGCAUUUGCACCCCCAUAAUUAUUGCUUAUUUAAUAUUUUUUGUACCAUUCUGUGCAAACUCAGAGACUUUUGUGUGAGAAACAUCCCAGUAUAUCAGCAGGAUCUGAAAUAUGGCACCAACAACCAUGCCACGGUUAUUGUGUUGUUGAUUCUGAUAGUUGAUGUGAACAUCAUUAACCGAAGCUCUUGAAAUGUAUCUGCAUGUUGUUGUUAUGUUUACAUUAUGCUGCUGCCAUAUGACAGGUGGUCUUAAUAAGGUGGAUGGUGAGUGUAUCCACAUACUUCAUCUUUUGUUAUUUUGUUGUACUGCUUCUAAGUUGGACAUUAUUACAAAUAAUUUUGCUGUUGUAUUUAUUUGUAUUUUAGAUGAAUGCAAGGAUCUGGCUGGGGACGUAAUGUUUCUUGCCACAAAAUUCAUCCCCCAGAAAAGGGUGGGUGAAGCCUUACUAGAAGAGGGGAAUGUCCAUGCUGCCAUCGUCAAAACCGAAGACUGCAGGAAGACAUUGAAAGAAGUAAAGGCUGCUCUAGAGAAAAAUUGGGACACAUUUGACCUGGCAACACAUGGUCUUGGUCCUGCCGUAAUAAAUGGCACUUUUUCGUUGAUAGAUGCGUGUCUUAAGGAAAAGAUGAGAGCACUGAAAAAAAAAGACUCCACAGAUGAGUAAGGUUCCCCCACUUUAUUUUGUUUACUUGUAUUGUUUCAAACUCUUGUUUCUUGAUGUUCAGCUGUACAAAAAAAAAUUAAUAAAACAUUACAAAGAA